UUUAAUAUGGUACUGCUAAUGGGGAAGGAUUCGAAGCCUUUUUAAGGUCCUGUAGGCUCUCCUACUCAACUCCUAUCCUGUAACGUUCUCAAUGUUCAGAUCGGCCACACUAUCACCUAAUGCCAUCGCUUUCGUACAGGUUAGUUUAGAAUUUAGGUAAUUUUAACUUCAUGAGGUCCAUCAAUAGCAAAUCUAAAAGUG
rnacentral:ribozyme from 1 species